GAUAGCUUGCUAUCAAUGCUGACGAGCGGCGGACGGGUGAGUAAUGCCUGGGAAUAUGCCCUGAUGUGGGGGAUAACUAUUGGAAACGAUAGCUAAUACCGCAUAAUCUCUUCGGAGCAAAGAGGGGGACCUUCGGGCCUCUCGCGUCAGGAUUAGCCCAGGUGGGAUUAGCUUGUUGGUGGGGUAAUGGCUCACCAAGGCAACGAUCCCUAGCUGGUCUGAGAGGAUGAUCAGCCACACUGGAACUGAGACACGGUCCAGACUCCUACGGGAGGCAGCAGUGGGGAAUAUUGCACAAUGGGGGAAACCCUGAUGCAGCCAUGCCGCGUGUAUGAAGAAGGCCUUCGGGUUGUAAAGUACUUUCAGUUGUGAGGAAGGCGUUGAUGUUAAUAGCUUCAGCGUUUGACGUUAGCAACAGAAGAAGCACCGGCUAACUCCGUGCCAGCAGCCGCGGUAAUACGGAGGGUGCGAGCGUUAAUCGGAAUUACUGGGCGUAAAGCGCAUGCAGGUGGUCUGUUAAGCAAGAUGUGAAAGCCCGGGGCUCAACCUCGGAACAGCAUUUUGAACUGGCAGACUAGAGUACUGUAGAGGGGGGUAGAAUUU
rnacentral:rRNA from 1 species